UACGUAGGGGGCAAGCGUUGUCCGGAAUCAUUGGGCGUAAAGAGCGUGUAGGCGGCCCGAUAAGUCCGCUGUGAAAGUCCAGGGCUCAACCCUGGGAUGCCGGUGGAUACUGUCGGGCUCGAGUCCGGAAGAGGAGUGUGGAAUUCCUGGUGUAGCGGUGAAAUGCGCAGAUAUCAGGAGGAACACCGAUGGCGAAGGCAGUGGUCUGGGCCGAUACUGACGCUGAGGAGCGAAAGCGUGGGGAGCGAACAGG
rnacentral:rRNA from 1 species